CCCUUAGAUGUUCUGGGCUGCACGCGUGCUACAAUGAAGCGUCCAACAAGAUGCGAAGCCGAAGGGCUCAGCGGAUCUUUGAAGUCGUUUCGUGACCGGGACAGUUGAUUGCAAUUAUUCGACUCGAACGAGGAAUUCCUUGUAAUCGCGAUUCAUCAUAUCGCGCUGAAUACGUCCCUGCCCUUUGUACACACCGCCCGUCGCUCCUACCGAUUGAGCGAUCCGGUGAAUUAUUUGGAGUGUCCACGCAAGCCAAUCCGUUUACGUGGGUGCGAAAUUUUGUAAACCUUAUCGCUUAGAGGAAGGAAAANUCGUANCA
rnacentral:rRNA from 1 species